rnacentral:tmRNA from 1 species
GGGGGCGUACCGGUUUCGACGGGGAUGCUGAACCACGAUAAGCGGGUAGUGUCGCGGCAAUCACUUAAAAGGUCGCAACUUUAAAAUUAAACGCUAAUAAAACUGAAUUAGCUGCUGCCUAAUUAGGCGGCCGUCCUCUCGCGGAGUACUGCGGCCGCGAACAGGGCGUCGAUGAGCAGUCCACUCUUUGUACGAUGCCGAGAGUACAAACCGUAUCAUUUCGGCUAUCGCAUGCGGCGGCUUGUUUGUUGUCCGCCUCAUGCCGAACUCAAACAAUAAACUAAACUCGUAGAAAGUCGUGCGGACGCGUUUUCGGACAGGGGUUCGACUCCCCUCGCCUCCACCA